GUCCUGCACACUUAUUUUGUAGUUCCACUUCCUUUUCGAGUGUCCUGCAGCAGCUUUAUUUUGUCUCCCAGCGCACCUGUUUUGAGUUUAGUCGUGCUAUUUAAGUCCAGCUGGUCUUUGUUGGGAGAUUGUUAUCUGUAUGUGUAGCCGAGCUAAAUUUUAUUUUAUUUAAUUUUGGUCAUUUAUUCACAUCAUUUUUUGUUGUGAACUUCCCCAAAAGUGUUUGUCAUUGUAAAUAGGUUCCACUCUAUUAUUUUCCGUUACAUACCUUUUUGUUCCCCUGGGGGGUGAUUUGGCGUCGCACCUUUGUGACCAGCUUCAGUGAGCACUGGCGCUCGAGCUGGUGAAUAAAUCCUCCACGAUUCAACUCCUGUGUGUGCGCCUCACUACGAAAUACACAACGCAGAACAGUGACUGUUACAUAUGGAUGCUGUUGAAUGCUGUUCCCUUUUUUGAGGCUUCCAACACUUGUCUGAGAGCUGUCCGGCGAAGAAGGAUCCGAUCAGGACUCCCACAAAAAAGAUGGUGGUGGUGAACGGCUUCUUCCACUUUUGGUCGCACACCAGGUCGAACUGAAAGAUGGACAUAAUCCAAGGAAAACACGUGAGGGCGACGUACCGUUCCCUCUGGCGUAUGUCCUGCAUGCUGUCAGGAAGAGGUCGCCCAAAACUCUCAGGAAGGAGAAUGGUGGCGAGGGCGGCCAAAACCGCCAAACUUCCCAAGACGAUGUACGGAAGAAACUUGGCGUAGGACCCUGUGUUGACGAGAGGCACCAGCUGCAUGACGUACAGCGUUAAGGCGGCGAGCACCAAGGUGCCGAUGACGGACAGCCUCCGCGAGACGUAGCGCAGCGCCAGCCAGCUGGAGACGUACGCCGGCAGCUCCACGGCGCCGGAGAUGAAGCAGCUGAGGUCCAAGAUGCUGUGUGGCUCUUUGGGGUCCGUCUUGGCCUUGGCCACCUGAUAAACCGGAAGCGGGUGUGACUACUUGCUGGAUUAUACCAGGAAUUGAGGUCUACUUACAUAGCCUUCGAAGAUGACACCAGGGGCCUGAACCUUGUUGAUUUUGGCCGCCUUCCUUAUGAUGGCCUCCGCCUCUUCGACCCGGUCCUGGCAGAGAAGCCACCGAGGAGACUCCGGGAUGAACCUGCACGGGAGGGUGAAACGGAAGCUGUGGCCGACCUCUGAAAGCGCGGAAGCUCAUAAAUGAUUCACUCACCACCAGAAAGGGAAGAAGGCCAGACAGGGCACGGACAGCACCAGCAGGAGAUUUUUCCAGUCCCUCACAAAGUAGGCACAAACCGGCAGCAGCAUGUAGCCUACGGCGAAUCCGGAGCAAGUUCCCAACGACGAAUACAGCAGGCGAACGUUGCCUGUUAAGAUCUCUGCUCCUACACACACACAUCCCGCGUGGAACAUAAAAAUUACGGUAAAAAAACAUGGAGAUAAAGGUGCACGGUACCUAGGACCAGAGCGGCCAUAUAGUUGGACAUCUGUCCCAAACCGUUGAUGACCAGGAGGAUGGUGAACAUCACCCAGGACACGGAAAAGACUUGAAUGAAGGUGAAGAUGGUCUGGAGAGCCAAAGUGACGAAGAGGAUGGGUUUCCUUCCGCAUCUGCAGCACAAAGGAUUAUUUACUGCGGAACAGGGGUGUCUAACUUGUUUUCAUUGAGGGCCACAUUGCAGUUAUGGCUGCCAUCAGUUACACGUAUUUGCCUCUGCAUUUGAUUAUUAAGAUUAAGGGGUGUCAAGCUCAUUUUAGAUCGGAUGCCACGUGGAGAAAAAUCUACUCCCAAAAGGGCCGAACUGGUGAAAUCACAGCACGAUAACUUAAAAAUAAAGACAACUUCCUAUUGUUUUCUUUGUUUAAAAAUAGAACAAGCACAUUCUGAAAAUUUACAAAUCAUAAUAAUGUUGGGUUUUUUUACACUUACAUGUUGCGGUUAUUAGUAUUCUAUAUUUAUUAGUCGUUAUUUAUAUUUUCUGACUAAAUUAUGUGAUAAUGUUCAUCAGUCAACUCUUUGGUGUUAAUUUUCCAUCUAUCAAGAUAAAAAAAUUAUAUCCAAAUCAAAUUACAGGAUGUUAUUUAUUUAGUUUGCUCAUUUUCCUCGACUGAUGUACUAACAUCAUGUGGUUUAUUUUGUACAUUUGUAGCAUCAUCUACAAAGAGACAAAUAAUUGCUAUUGCGACAUCCAGUGGACACAUUUAGAACAACAGUUCCUUUCAUUCAAAUGGUUAAUUUUUAUACUUAGCAAACUCAUCCCGCGGGCCAGAUAAAACCUGUCUGCGGGCCUAAUCCGGCCCUCGGGCCGUACGUUUGACACCCCUGACAUACACUGUAAAGGAACUGGCAAUCAGAUGCCACAAUUUUACUGUAAAACAUACAGUGUUUUUUUUUUACAUGUUACACACGGUAAAUAGAAAAACAGUAGCUUAGUCGCCAGAAUUUUACUGUAAAAUUAACAGUGUUUUUUUUUUACAGCAUAUUAUUGUAAAUAGAAAAUAACUCGACCACUGUUUUUUUACAGUAAAAUACUGGCAACUGAGCUGCUAGUUUUUUUUACCGUAAAAAUAAUGUGGUACUCUUUCCAUAUACAGUAAUACACCGUAAAAACAUUUUUUUUAGAUAGAUUUUACGGUAAAAGACUGGUAGCUCAGUCGACAGUAUUUUACCAUAAAAAAAACAAUAUGCUGUAAAAAUCCCCGUAAAUUUUACCGUACAAUCUAUAUUAUUUUUGUGUACAAUUUGAUGGAUGGAUGUCAGGCCGUGCCUUAUUUGGAGUUUGUUAGUGUUUUUUCCAUGUUUAAUGUUGAGUUCCUGUCCUGCACACUUAUUUUGUAGUUCCACUUCCUUUUUUAAGUGUCCUGCAGCAGCUUUAUUUUGUUUCCCAGCGCACCUGUUUUGAGUUUAGUCUUACUAUUUAAGUCCAGCUGGCGCCGCGGUCUUUGUUGGGAGAUUAUCUGUAUGGAUGCUGUUGAACGUUGUUCCCUUUUCUGAGGCUUCCAACACUUGUCUGAGAGCUGUCCGGCGAAGAAGGAGCCGAUCAGGAUGCCCACAAAAAAGAUGGUGGUGGUGAACGGCUUCUUCCACUUUUGGUCGCACACCAGGUCGAACUGAAAGAUGGACAUAAUCCAAGGAAAACACGUGAGGGCGACGUACCGUUCCCUCUGGCGUAUGUCCUGCAUGCUGUCAGGAAGAGGUCGCCCAAAACUCUCAGGAAGGAGAAUGGUGGCGAGGGCGGCCAAAACCGCCAAACUUCCCAAGACGAUGUACGGAAGAAACUUGGCGUAGGACCCUGUGUUGACGAGAGGCACCAGCUGCAUGACGUACAGCGUUAAGGCGACGAGCACCAAGGUGCCGAUGACGGACAGCCUCCGCGAGACGUAGCGCAGCGCCAGCCAGCUGGAGACGUACGCCGGCAGCUCCACGGCGCCGGAGAUGAAGCAGCUGAGGUAGGUGUUGUCGUGGAGCUGCGUGGUGUUGAAGGAGAUGCCGUAGUAUCCUGCCGACAUGGUGAAGCUGGGGACACAGGAAAUAUACCUUACGCCACCGGCAUGGCAACAUCUGGCCACUAGAGGGCGUUUUCCCACAACACAAUCAGCUGUUACCUAUGUGGAUGCUUUUCUACUGUGGGAAAACCUGAGAUGAAUAAACAGAAAGAAGACUAACAGGUAUGUCGUACCUGUAUAACAGUGUCAGUUUACUGCAAGCCAACACUUGGAGGACAACAAAACGUGCGACUG